rnacentral:rRNA from 1 species
GAUGAACGCUGGCGGCGUGCUUAACACAUGCAAGUCGAACGGAAAGGCCCAAGCUUGCUUGGGUACUCGAGUGGCGAACGGGUGAGUAACACGUGGGUGAUCUGCCCUGCACUUCGGGAUAAGCCUGGGAAACUGGGUCUAAUACCGGAUAGGACGAUGGUUUGGAUGCCAUUGUGGAAAGUUUUUUCGGUGUGGGAUGAGCUCGCGGCCUACCAGCUUGUUGGUGGGGUAAUGGCCUACCAAGGCGUCGACGGGUAGCCGGCCUGUGAGGGUGUACGGCCACAUUGGGACUGAGAUACGGCCCAGACUCCUACGGGGGGCAGCAGUGGGGAAUAUUGUACAAUGGGCGCAAGCCUGAUGCAGCGACGCCGCGUGGGGGAUGACGGCCUUCGGGUUGUAAACUCCUUUCGCUAGGGACGAAGCGUUUUUGUGACGGUACCUGGAGAAGAAGCACCGGCUAACUACGUG